AGUAGGCUGUGUGACUGCAAUCGGCAUCAGGAGGGAAGGAGGACAACUGGGUGAAUUAAUUUUCCCAUCGACAGCUUUCAUCAUAUUCGUUUCGAGCCGGCCCCGAUCCAUCCUUCGGUUUCACUCUUCCCGGGUGUGUGCGUGUGCAGUAGGCGACGACCGACCGUUGCUUCCGGUGUUUUUACAUUCAGCGAGCGGCAACGAUGGUGGAUCUGUGUGCCGAGUUUGCGGUCUCCUUGGUUUUCCGAACUGCUUCUUUCUUGCACACUCGCUUCACACAAAGUUAUGCCAAAGGCGUGCAAGAAUUUCAUUCAGAAAUAUCUCGUCCCAUUCUUUGAAAGGUUCCUGCUGUCCUGCCUGUCCUGCCCUAACUAACCGAGGGAGAGAGAACGAGAAUGAACAUCUCGAGACGAAAGGCUUACACACACGCAGGCGGCUUUUCCUUUAGAACUCGGCUUCACGGCGUUCCGAGCGGGCACGAGCACAAGUUCGCGUUCAAGGACAUCAGCCCCGGAGUGACGUCAGGCGGGGUUAUUUUUGGUCCUUUCGAUAGUUCGCAAACUCGCGCAUGGAUGGGACAAAACAACACUGUUGCUGUUUCUGAGGAUUGUAACAUCAAGUUACAGGAGUAACUUAAACGAACCAUAGACGAAGAACGUCUUUUUACACCAAAGAGAGACCAAAGAGUGUAGAAAUAUCAACUAACAUUUGAUGAACCUUCACUCCAUAAA